UGGCUCUAGCAUCGAUGAAGAACGCAGCGAAACGCGAUAGCUAAUGUGAAUUGCAGAAUUCAGUGAAUCAUCGAAUUUUUGAACGCAUAUUGCGCCCGCUGGUAUCCCAGCGGGCAUGCCCGUUCGAGCGUCAUUUCAACCCUCAGGUUUUGGCCUGGUAUUGGAGAUCUAUAAUUAUAGGCUCCCAAGUCAAGCGGGAGAGCCUGUUGUUUUAACCGAGUGCAGUAAACCACUAUCACUCAGGGGAACAGCAAGGUGCUACCAAAAGUGCUAUUUUUCAUUAAAUUGACCUCGGAUCGGGUAGGGAUACCCGCUGA
rnacentral:misc_RNA from 1 species